rnacentral:rRNA from 1 species
CGGAACGGGUGAGUAAUGCGUGACCAACCUGCCCCAUGCUCCAGAAUAGCUCUUGGAAACGGGUGGUAAUGCUGGAUGCUCCAACUUGACGCAUGUCUUGUUGGGAAAGUGUUUAGUGGCAUGGGAUGGGGUCGCGUCCUAUCAGCUUGUAGGCGGGGUAAUGGCCCACCUAGGCUUCGACGGGUAGCCGGCCUGAGGGGGCGGACGGCCACAUUGGGACUGAGAUACGGCCCAGACUCCUACGGGAGGCAGCAGCG